GGUCAUAUGGUGAAUUUAUAAUCUAUCACAAUGAAAUUUCAAUUCAUAGGACAAAUGACUA
rnacentral:tRNA from 2 species